rnacentral:rRNA from 1 species
AUAUCAAUAAGCGGAGGAAAAGAAACCAACAGGGAUUGCUCUAGUAACGGCGAGUGAAGCAGCAAUAGCUCAAAUUUGAAAUCUGGCGUCUUCGGCGUCCGAGUUGUAAUUUGUAGAGGAUGCUUCUGAGUAACCACCGACCUAAGUUCCUUGGAACAGGACGUCAUAGAGGGUGAGAAUCCCGUAUGCGGUCGGAAAGGUGCUCUACACGUAGCUCCUUCGACGAGUCGAGUUGUUUGGGAAUGCAGCUCUAAAUGGGAGGUAAAUUUCUUCUAAAGCUAAAUAUUGGCCAGAGACCGAUAGCGCACAAGUAGAGUGAUCGAAAGAUGAAAAGCACUUUGGAAAGAGAGUUAAAAAGCACGUGAAAUUGUUAAAAGGGAAGGGAUUGCAACCAGACUUGCUCGCGGUGUUCCGCCGGUCUUCUGACCGGUCUACUCGCCGCGUUGCAGGCCAGCAUCGUCUGGUGCCGCUGGAUAAGACUUGAGGAAUGUAGCUCCCUCGGGAGUGUUAUAGCCUCUUGUGAUGCAGCGAGCGCCGGGCGAGGUCCGCGCUUCGGCUAGGAUGCUGGCGUAAUGGUCGUAAUCCGCCCGUCUUGAAACACGGACCAAGGAGUCUAACAUCUAUGCGAGUGUUCGGGUGUCAAACCCCUACGCGUAAUGAAAGUGAACGGAGGUGAGAACCGCAAGGUGCAUCAUCGACCGAUCCUGAUGUCUUCGGAUGGAUUUGAGUAUGAGCAUAGCUGUUGGGACCCGAAAGAUGGUGAACUAUGCCUGAAUAGGGUGAAGCCAGAGGAAACUCUGGUGGAGGCUCGCAGCGGUUCUGACGUGCAAAUCGAUCGUCAAAUUUGGGUAUAGGGGCGAAAGACUAAUCGAACCAUCUAGUAGCUGGUUCCUG